rnacentral:rRNA from 1 species
GAGUUUGAUUAUGGCUCAGGACGAACGCUGGCGGCGUGCCUAAUACAUGCAAGUCGAACGAACGGAAGGAGAACUUGUUCUUUGGAAGUGAGUGGCGCACGGGUGAGUAACACGUGGGAAACCUACCCUUCAGCGGGGGAUAACACUGGGAAACGAGUGCUAAUACCGCAUAGAGCAUCUAGUUGCAUGACUGGAUGAGGAAAGACGCUACGGCGUCACUGAAGGAUGGUCCCGCGGUGCAUUAGCUAGUUGGUAAGGUAGCGGCUUACCAAGGCGAUGAUGCAUAGCCGACCUGAGAGGGUGAUCGGCCACAUUGGGACUGAGACACGGCCCAAACUCCUACGGGAGGCAGCAGUAGGGAAUCUUCCGCAAUGGACGCAAGUCUGACGGAGCAACGCCGCGUGAGUGAAGAACGGUUUUCGGAUCGUAAAGCUCUGUUGUUAGAGAAGAAUAGCUACGANGAGGGAAUGUUCGUAGAGUGACGUUCNACCG